GGUAACCUGCUCGGGUCCCCUUCCACAUCAUGGAAGCUUUGUUCUUUUGCUCUUAGCAAUAAAUCUUGCUGCUGCUCACUCUUUGGGUCUGCACUACCUUUCUGAGCUGUAACACUCACUGUGAAGGUCUGCAGCUUCCCUCCUAAAGCCAGCGAGACCACAAACCCACUGGGAGGAACAAACAACUCCAGAUAUGCCAGCUUUAAGAGCUGUAACACUCACUGGGAAGGUCUGCAGCUUCACUCCUGAAGUCAGCAAGACCACGAACCCAUUGAGAGGAAUGAACAACUCCGGACGUGCUACCUUUAAGAGCUGUAACACUCACUGCGAGGGUCCGUGUCUUCACUCCUGAAGUCAGCAAGAUCAUGAACCCACCAGAAGGAAGAAACUCCGGACAUAUCUGAACAUCUGAAGGAACAAACUCUGGACACACCAUCUUUAAGAACUGUAACACUCACCGUGAGGGUCUGCGGCUUCAUUCUUGAAGUCAGUGAGACCAAGAACCCACCAGAAGGAACCAAUUCCAGACACAUUUUGUCUACCCAGAUGGGACUAUCGCCUAUCGCCAAGUGUUAAGGUGGCAGGAGUGGAAUCUUGGAUUCACCACACCCGAGUUAAAUUUUGGACAUCCCCUGAGGAACCUGCGGGACCAUCAGCUCAGGAGUCCCAAGAUCACCCAGACCAGCCUUGAUACCUGUGAACCAUUGGAGGACUUGCAUCUCCUAUUUUGGAAGGAAUCAUCCCAGACUAAAAAGGCUCCUACCACUGAUCCUGAAGAAAAACCCCUUCCUCCUUAAAAAAGAUAAGUGAAAACCUACAUAAUCUUUAACACCUCUCCUUGCCCCUUUAAUGGAAACCUUUUACUAUUUCAUCAUGUUAUUAAGCAGCAUACUAACCAUACUCUUUGCAAUAGGACUAUAUACUGUAGCUCCUGCUGGGAUGAAAAUAAAAUAGAACACAGGGAGCCACUCACUUUGCUCCCAACAUCCCUUUCCAGCCACUCACCGGAGCUACCUUGGCAAGUACUCUAGAAGUAUGAAAAAAUGAAAACAACAAACUCGCACACCUUUUUAACAUACACAACCAGUUUUGUCUACCCAGCCGAGGUAUAUUCUUCUUAUGUGGAACACCGACCUAUAUCUGCCUCCCCACUAACUGGACAGGCACCUGCACCUUAGUCUUUCUAAGCCCCAACAUUAACAUUGCCCCAGGAAAUCAGACCCUAUCAGUACCCCUCAAAGCUCAAGUCCAUCAGCGCAGAGGCAUACAACUAAUACCCCUACUUAUAGGGUUAGGAAUGGCUACGCUACAGGAACUGGAAUAGCCAGUUUAUCUACUUCAUUAUCCUACUACCACACACUCUCAAAGGAUUUCUCAGACAGUUUGCAAGAGAUAAUGAAAACUAUCCUUACUCUACAAUCCCAAAUAGACUCUUUGGCAGCAGUGAGUCUCCAGAACUGCUGAGGCCUAGACCUCCUCAUUGCUAAGAAAGGAGGACUCUGCACCUUCUUAGGGGAAGAGUGUUGUUUUUACACUAACCAGUCAGGUAUAGUACGAGAUGCCACCCGGUGUUUACAGGAAAAGGCUUCUGAAAUCAGACAACGCCUUUCAAACUCUUAUACCAACCUCUGGAGUUGGGCAACAUGGCUUCUCCCCUUUCUAGGUCCCAUGGCAGCCAUCUUGCUAUUACUCGCCUUCAGGCCCUGUAUUUUUAACCUUGUCAAAUUUGUUUCCUCUAGGAUCGAAGCCAUCAAGCUACAGAUGGUCUUACAAAUGGAACCCCAAAUGAGCUCAAAUAACAACUUCUACUGAGGACCCCUGGACCUACCCACUGGCCCUUUCACUGGCCUAAAGAGUUCCCCUCCCGAGGACACUACAACUGCAAGGCCCCUUCUUCGCCCCCAUCCAGCAGGAAGUAGCCACAGCGAUCAUUGCCCAAUUCCCAACAGCAGUUGGGGUGUCCUGUUUAGAGGGGGCAUUGAGAGGUGAAGCCAGCUGGGCUUCUGGGUCGGGUGGGGACUUAGAGAACUUUUCUGUCUAGCUAAAGGAUUGUAAACACACCAAUGAGCACUCUGUGUCUAGUUAAAGGUUUGUUUUUUGUUUUUUUUUGAGACAGAGUCUUGCUCGGUUGCCCAGGCUGGAGUGCAGUGGCACUAUCUCAGCUCACUGGAAGCUCCGCCUCCUGGGUUCAUGCCAUUCUCCUGCUUCAGCCUCCUGAGUAGCUGGGGCUACAGGCACCCGCCACCACGCCCACCUAAUUUUUUGUAUUUUUAGUAGAGACGGGGUUUCACCAUUUUAGCCACGAUGGUCUCGAUCUCCUGACCUCAUGAUCUGCCCACCUCAGCCUCCCAAAGUGCUGGGAUUACAGGCGUGAGCCACCACACCCGGCCAAGGUUUGUAAAUGCACCAAUCAGCAUUCUGUAAAAACGCACCAAUAAGCGCUCCGUCUAGCCAAAUGUUUGUAAACUUACCAAUCAGCAGUCUGUAAAAACGGACCAAUCAGCACUCUGUAAAAUGGACCAAUCAGCAGGAUGUGGGUGGGGCCAAAUAAGGGAAUAAAAGCUGGCCACCCGAGCCAGCAGUGGCAACCUGCUUGGGUCCCCUUCCACACCGUGGAAGCUUUUUUCUUUCACUCUUAGCAAUAAAUCUUGCUGCUGCUCACUCUUUGGACCCGCACUACCUUUCUGAGCUGUAACACUCCCUGCAAAGGUCUGUGGUUUCACUCCUGAAGCCAGCGAGACCACAAACCCACUGGGAGGAACAACCAACUCCGGACGUGCCACCUUUAACAGCUGUAACACUCACUGGGAAGGUCUGUGGCUUCACUCCUGAAGUCAGCGAGACCACGAACCCAUCUGGAGGAAUGAAAAACUCCAGAUGAACCACCUUUAAGAGCUGUAACAUUCACUGCAAUGGAUCACAGCUUCACUCCUGAAGUCAGCAAGACCACAAACCCACCAGAAGGAAGAAACUCCAGACACAUCUGAACAUCUGAAGGAACAAACUCCAGACACACCAUCUUUAAGAACUGUAACACUCACUGCAAGGGUCUGCAGCUUCAUUCUUGAAGUCAGUGAGACCAAGAACCCACCAGAAGGAACCAAUUCCGGACACAAUAGCUUCUUCCUCCCUUGUGUGCUCCCGCAAGACUGGGCCUUGUCUGCCUCCAGACACUCCGUACUCUCUCUCACUGCUUAGAUGGCUCUUUCCAUCCCUCUUCCAUCCUCCAAACACGCCAUCCCUUCCCAUGAUGCUGCAUUUUCCAGUGAGCAGACUAAGCUCAGAGCAUCAGCAAAACCCUCCGUUUUUCUUGAAACUUUGAACUUCAUGGAAGUUGCUCACCUUCUGCCUAACCACAGGGAAAUGGCCCCAGGAAGUCUUCCCAGUCCCCAUGUGGGUGAGGGCCUUGCCUCCUGUUCCAGGUCCACCCACAUCUUUCCUAUUUGGCCAUGUCCAUGUGUUAUUAUUACUGUUGGUUUGGUUGUUGGCUUCUUGGACAGACUAUAAACCACAGGAGGACAGGCUUCAACCUUAUUUAUUCUCUGCUAUGGCCCCAAGGCCUGGCACACAGCAAAUGCUCUGUAUAGAGUCAUGAAUGAGUGAACAAACAAAUAAGUGAACAAACAAAUAAAUGAACAAACUCAGGA